CCCUUAGAUGUUCUGGGCCGCACGCGCGCUACACUGACGAAUGCAACGAGCUUAUAACCUUGGCCGAAAGGUCUGGGUAAUCUCCAAAUUUCGUCGUGAUGGGGAUAGAUUAUUGCAAUUAUUAAUCUUCAACGAGGAAUGUCUAGUAAGCGCAAGUCAUCAGCUUGCGUUGAUUACGUCCCUGCCCUUUGUACACACCGCCCGUCGCUCCUACCGAUUGAAUGGUCCGGUGAAGCGUUCGGACCGUGGCCUUUGGACGGUUCGCCGUCUGUUGGCUGCGGGAAGUUCGUUAAACCUUAUCAUUUAGAGGAAGGAGAANUCGUANCA
rnacentral:rRNA from 1 species